UUUAAUGUUUUAGAAUAUAUAUUUUAAAUUUUGAAAAUUUUGAAUAUAUUUACCUUAGAAUCCAUUAUUUUAAGAAAUCUCUAGAAAAAAUGUUGCAAUAGUCAAGCAAUUAGUAUUUCAAAGUAUGGAACGUAGUCGAAGCAUACUAAUAUCCUCUACAGAAUUCGUAAGUAGUACAGCAUACAAUUUAUCUCAGAUUAUACAUCACGGAUGAAAAUGUUAAAAUUAUUAAUAACAAUUAUAUCAAGCAAGUAAUGUGCUAAUGGAAUAAUAUCAUUAGCAAUUAGCUUUAUGGAGGGAUUUGUGUUAAACUAGUUAUAGAAUGUUGUUACAGUUUAUAAAUAAUCUCUACACAAAUUAAUGGAAUUUAGAAUAAAGAAAAUUCAAGUUAUGAAUAAAAAUUAUAUAAAAAAACAGGAUUGACAGUAAUUGAAGAAUUGUAUGUUUGUUUUAAUGUCUUGUUUGAGACAUCAUUCGUGGUCAAAUGAUUACAUCAUCUUUAAGACUGCUUGACCGAAAUAAAAAUGGCUGUAUCCGCCUUUCCACGUUUUCUACUUUUUCGUCGCAGCCUGUAUCGUGUCAAGCAUAAUUUCCUAGUUUUUUUUUUUUUUAAUAUCUGUUCUAUGGCUUGUAUUAUCUUGUUGCAAUUAUUAACAUAAGGAAAGUGCAAAAUGGUUUUAAAAAUUUACAUAGAAGUAAGAUCGCAUUUCUAGGAUAUUUAUAAUGGAAUAAAAAAAUCGAUCUUAAUUACAACUGAGAAAAAUUAUUAACAUUAUUCUUUGGAGCUGUAAAUUUCGUGAAUAGUUUCCAAUUUUAAAGAUAAUUAAAAUCAAGA